AAAUGAUCCUCAAUUAGGUCUCAAGAUAAAUGUCACUCUUGCUUUAGGCCUUCCCUCUAUUUGCCAUGCAAGUGCCAACGUUUCCCAAUGCCCUGCCCUUCUACACUUAGCACCUAAUUCUCCAGAUGCUCAAGUUUUCUAUCAAUUUGCUAAUAGCACUAAUGAGAGUAGCAGCAGCCCCGCCCCUAGUCCUAGUGAUGAAGCGGCCAACAGCAGAGGACAAAUUGCUCAAACGAGGAGCAAUGGAUGUA
rnacentral:misc_RNA from 1 species